UUAAUUAGUUAAGGCCUUAUACUUACUCUAUCAGUUUUGAAUCGACUGAAUUAUAUCCGUAAUAUGAUGGAUAUUCAACAAUUUUCUUAUUUUCUUAUCGUCUCGUCGAGUUCUCCUCUUAUUUAUUCUUCAAUUCUAAAGCUAGACCGAGAUAUAUAAAAUCAAACCAAGUUUUCUGAAAUCAAAACCGGUCUCUCCUAAACCCUAAUUUAAAGAAUCGAAACUCAUAAACUAAACUCAAUCUUUCAGUAUGUCAAAUUUGAUAAACCCUAGAAAUUGUUUCUUCUGUACUCUUAAAAUGAUUCUGUAAGAUGUGCUUGGUUUUAACCUGAAGUUUGUUUCCCUAAUGGUGAAAUAGUCAUAGAUCCGUCACCUUAGUCAGAUUCUGUUUAUUUUCUUCUUUUUAUCUUUUAAAGCCCUAGAUUUACAAUUCUUUUUCCUAAUUGUUUCAUAAUCAAGAGAUGGAGAUAAUUCGAGUUCCUAGCUUUCAAUCUUUGUUUUAGACUCUCAUGUUGAGGUUAUCGAUUGCAGAUCCUAUUCAGAUUGGGUUUUCGGUUAACUUCCUUAAGUAAGAAAUUGGUGAAAUUUCAGUCAAGAAAAUCAACACAUAAAAGAUUUGAAUGUUGAGACAUAUCUUGUAAAAUUCCAAGCAAAGACAGUAUUUCGAGCAAAAGAAACGGCAACAACAUUCCAAUGGAGAUGACGAUGCUGAAGGAACUGAUGGGUCUGCUGCAUACCAUCGGACACCUAAAUUGUUAGAUAUCUUAAGUUUGUUGAACUUGGUGGGAGAGGCCAAGGGGGGUAAUUCUGGCUGGAAAAAUGCGGAUGGUCCGGCGUCAGAGUUUCGUCGCUGAAUUAUCAAGUCCCCAAGGACAUGCACUAUGGGCAGCUAGAAGAGAUUGGAUUUAUGGACUGUAUGAGUAUCGAUGAGGUGGCACUUGGAAAUGUGAUGUCUGUUCGAUUCCUUUAUGUUGCAAGGACUAGAACACGAAAUGGAGUUCUGCUUUGCAUCUUUGGAAUUUACUCCCCAACCUGAUUUGUUUAGAUGUUUCGAGAACUGAUGCUACUUUCGCUGUUGUCGUGAAACUGAUGUCAACAACACCAAGUUUGAAGGUGGUUUGUGCCCUAAACUGUCCAAAUCUUGAGGAAUAAAGCAACCAUACUGUGUACAAAGUUAAGGGGAAGUUGUUGCUGGACUUUUUUAGUGAUAUUUUCAAGGGAGUUGCUUCUUUAUUCGCCGAUACUACUAUGAAAGAUAUGGAUGUAUUUUCAGAAUGGAGUAGUUCAAAGAGUGGGAAUAAGAACUUGAAUGAUAUCAUGACAUGGAUUGAAUGGAUUCUAUCACAUACAAGGUGUUGCAUUGUUGCUCAGUUUGAUGCGGAAACCAGUUCACAGGGGUUGGAUACUUUGUGGCUAAAACAAGGUGCUGCAUUGUUGCUCAGUUUGAUGUGGAGUUCGCAAGUUGAUAUACACGAACAAGCGUCUACAGGACUUGCAACAUUAGUUGUCAUUGAUGAAGAAAAUGUCAUUGUUGACUGUGGAAGGGCAGAAGCAGUCAUGCAGGAUGGUGGAAUACGCCUUCUGUUGGACCUAGCAAAAUCUUGCCGUUAAGGCCUUCAGUCUGAAGCAGCCAAAGUUAUUGCAAACUUGUCGGUCAAUGCAAAAGUUGCGGAGGCUAUAGCUGAAGGAGGAGGAAUAAAUAUCCUUGCUGAUUUGGCAAGGUCCAUGAAUAGAUUGGUCGCAGAAGAAGCUGCUGGUGGACUUUGGAACCUCUCCGUGGGAGAAGAGCACAAGGUGGAAUAAAAUCUUUAGUGGAUCUUAUUUUCAAGUGCCUUCGGUGGUGAUGAAGUCCUUGAACGGGCUGCAGGUGCACUUGCAAAUUUGGAGACUGAUGAUAAAUGUAGCAUGGAGGUUGCGGUGGCAGGUGGCAUACAUGCUUUAGUGAUGCUUGCCCGGACGUGCAAGUUUGAUGGAGUCCAAGAGCAGUUACCUUGCAUAAGGUAGCGGAAAUCCCAGUCCUGAGAUUUUCACCCGUGAAUUACCAGCUUCUGAAGGACAAAAUAGAGACUAAAUCACCAGCCAAAGAAGAGAAAUGUGCAUCCCCCCGAAAGAAAUUCUCCAGUGAUCCUCAUAACACAGAAACUUUCCAUAAGUACUUCUCCAACAAAAAUGGUGAUAAGUCGGAUUGCUGGAAGAACGCAACUGAAACUCGUAAGAUCUCACGUCUUAUACUGUUAUGUAUUGAUUUGUUAACCGGUGCUAUUAAGAAUUUUGCAAAAUGAGGUUUUCCCCCUCGAAUCCCUUAUGCAAUUUCAGCCCUUCUGCAAGUCUUGGUCUAAGAUACUUGUUCUUUUUUUUCUUUGAUUGUGGCCUUCUGGGGUUAUUUUGUUGUUCAGUUUUGAUUUUUGUUUCUUGUUUCUUUUUUUUUUCCAUGUUAAUCCUGUGGUUUACUUCCUCGGAGUUCUCAUUACUCGAUUUACUUGGUGAGGAUGGGUCAAAUGGAAAAGCAGAAGGAAGUCCAGUGCGAGAGUUUCAUGUUGCCUUUUCAGUCGAAGGUGCAGCGAUUUCAUCCACUAAAGAUUCAUGAGAGCUAUACCUGCAUGUAUGUGACUACAAUACUUAGAUAUCCAUGAAGUUAAAGUAAAUAAGAGUUAUACCUGCAUGUAGACUCCUAACAUAUGUCCUAUUGUGUUGGAAGUUGGCCACCAUGCCAACGAUGAGUUAAUGGGUACCAAUGAUCAUGUACUUUUUAGUUUACUUCUGUACCUUAUCUCAGAUAAAAUACCGAACAAGUUCAGAAAAUUGGUAUGUUAAAUCAGUCAUAAUUCAGCUCUGCCACUCCGAGAUUAUCUUAAAGUCCUACAAGGUAUUAGUCGUCUCCUUCAAUGGUACAAGUUCAAUAAAGCAUUUACUAUGUCUAUUUAUGAUCUAUUGUAGAGAGUACAAGUUAUGCGUAUGUAAUCCAUGUUGGAAUUAAGAGAGAAUAUUGUAAGAAUAUUAUUGGUUAACCAUAUGUUCAUAUGAAAAAUUGGGUCUUCUAGAUGAUCUACAAUGGUA